CCAUAUAAUCUUAAUUUUGUUAUUAAUAUUAUUCUUAUUAAUAUAAUUCCUAUAUGAACAAUUGAAGGAAUAGCAACAAUUAAUUUUACAUCUAACUGACACAAAAUAAACGCAAAAUUCUUAAUAUUAAUAUA